rnacentral:rRNA from 1 species
UACAGAGGUCCCAAGCGUUGUUCGGAUUCACUGGGCGUAAAGGGCGCGUAGGUGGCGGGGUAAGCUUGAUGUGAAAUCUCCGGGCUUAACCCGGAAAUGGCAUUGAAUACUAUUCUGCUGGAGGUUUGGAGGGGGGACUGGAAUUCUCGGUGUAGCAGUGAAAUGCGUAGAUAUCGAGAGGAACACCAGUGGCGAAGGCGAGUCCCUGGACAACACCUGACACUGAGGCGCGAAAGCUAGGGGAGCAAACAGG